rnacentral:rRNA from 1 species
CAGCCGCCACGGUAAUACGGAGGGUGCAAGCGUUAAUCGGAAUUACUGGGCGUAAAGCGUGCGUAGGCGGUUCGUUAAGUCUGUUGUGAAAGCCCCGGGCUCAACCUGGGAAUGGCAAUGGAUACUGGCGAGCUAGAGUGUGUCAGAGGAUGGUGGAAUUCCCGGUGUAGCGGUGAAAUGCGUAGAGAUCGGGAGGAACAUCAGUGGCGAAGGCGGCCAUCUGGGACAACACUGACGCUGAGGCACGAAAGCGUGGGGAGCAAACAGGAUUAGAUACCCCAGUAGUCCCUGUCUCUUAUAA